rnacentral:rRNA from 1 species
UUUUGGACAAUGGGCGAAAGCCUGAUCCAGCCAUUCCGCGUGAGUGAAGAAGGCCUUCGGGUUGUAAAGCUCUUUCGCCAGCCCCAGAAACGAUGCAGUCGAAUAAACUGUGUUAAUGACGGUACCUUGAUAAGAAGCACCGGCUAACUACGUGCCAGCAGCCGCGGUAAUACGUAGGGUGCAAGCGUUAAUCGGAAUUACUGGGCGUAAAGCGUGCGCAGGCGGUUUUGUAAGUCAGAUGUGAAAUCCCCGAGCUCAACUUGGGAACUCCCUUUGAAACUACAAGACUAGAAUAUGUCAGAGGGGGGUAGAAUUCCACGUGUAGCAGUGAAAUGCGUAGAGAUGUGGAGGAAUACCAAUGGCGAAGGCAGCCCCCUGGGAUAAUAUUGACGCUCAUGCACGAAA